UCCUGCACACUUGAACAAAUAUUAGCAUAUCUAAUUGACAAUUUUUAAUACCUUGUUAUUAUUAAAACUCAAAGGGUAAUGUUAAACACAUUUUGCUCCAACACAAAUACUCAAGCACACAAGCAAGAUAUUUCCUAUGCUCAAGCACAAACAAGAGACUUCUAAACAAACAAAUUAGAAAGAAUAAGUUUGGUUUGAAAACUUGAUAUACAAUCAGUGGUGUUCACAAUACGAAACAAAUUGACCUCGUAAGACUCUAGAAUUUCUCAGAUAUGAAAUUUUAUAAUAAAUUCUAAGUGUUUGAUGCACAACAAUAUGAGCAGAGUUUUGACACAGUUUAAAUGUUGUAGAGUCUCUACAAAUCUUCAAGUCUUCAUUCCUUUAUAUAGAGAUAUGAAAGAAACGUUGUAGAGUUGCCAGCACAUCAAAGAGUCGUUACUGAAGCUUGAUAAAUCACCAAUGAUCUGUUGCUUGAUUUGGUUAAUGUCCUAGGAAGGAAUAAUUUGAAUUAUAUUCCUUGUUUGGACAAGUAACCAACAGAGACAUAGCUAUAGCAGUACUAUGCACAAACAAUUGUGGAGUAGUGGUUGUACAAUUGUACUAUUGUCCUUUCUCCGAGCUCCUUCACUGGAUAAAUAUCCAAUGCCUUCAAAUUCCUCUGAAUUAGCCGUUGCUCCAGGCUUCUAUUCCAUCUGCAAACUUGUGUCUUCAAAUAAUAAAUAUAACUAAUUCCAGGUUCUUCACUUCAGAUUCUGACGAACUUCAGAUUCUGGGUGACUUCUGACUCUGGUAGUCAGCAUCUGAUGGCCUUCAGACUCUGAUUGUCUUCAAACUCAGACUUGCGACAUAGCUUCCCUUGAAAACUAUUUUGCUUUCAAUUGUUCUUCCAGAACCAAUACCUUGUUUAAAGACUUAUAAAUUUUAGUCUAUGGUCCUGCACAAUUAAAUAAAUAUUAGUAUGUCCAAUUGAAAUUUUAAUAUCUUGUUAUCAUCAAAACUUAAGGUGACAAUGUUAAACACAUUUUAUUCCAACACGGAACACUACAUUGUCAGCAAACCAUUAAGGAUGAAUUUAAAUAAAAGAUUAGUAAUUGCAUAAAUCCUAUACAACAAUCCAGAUGAAUAGUACUACAUACAAUCAUAGAUAUUUACAUAUGAUCCCAGCAUAAAAGAAAGUUUGGUUACACAUAAAAUGCUUAACUAAUAAAAUAACGUUGAUAGAUGUUGGAGAUUCAUCAAGAAGCUUGUAUCCAAGCUUCCUGCCCCUCCAAUGAUGUCUCAUGCUUUCUGCCCUCUGUUCUCUCUCUAUUUGGAUUAGUUUACAAGGAUGUAGUUUUAAGGAAAUGAGCUACACCUCAAUUUAUAGAAAAUUCAGGGAUGUAGUUUACAAGAUGGAGUUUUAUGGAAAAUUCAGUUCUCUUCGGUUAUUAUUUUUUUUUAACCUUUAGCAUUUCCUUCUAGAAAAUUUGGGCAAUAUGAUAUAGUACUAAUGUAUUUAGAAAUGUGUGCUAAACUAUAAAACAAUUGCUUGCACAAAUGGAAGAACAUGCAUUCAAUGCAGCAAUCAGAUAUGAAAAGGCAACCAUCAUUUUGACCUAACUGUAGAGGUAUUGGCCAUCUUAUUUAGCAAUGCAAAAUAAUUACAGAAAUCAAAAUUUAUGGAAAUCAAGUGAUGAAAAAAAAACAACAAAUUAUGGUUAAUCAAGAGGAUCACCUGGUCAACAAGAUUACUUUGGAUUACACUGUUUUGCUGAUUUAACUAUGUUACCAAAGAAGGAUCAAAUUAUUAGUAUCGAUUUGAUUUUGUCAGAUGCAGAGAUGGCUUAGGAAAAUAGUGUCAUUAGAAAUAAUGCUACAUUGUAUUGUGAAAAUGACACAAGCUUGACACUAAAUAACUCUUUUAAUAUUUUGGAUGAGGACCUUCCCCUCUUGAGUGGUGAGGCUAUUUUUAGAGAUAAUCAUGGCAUACAAUAUCAUAUAGUCAUGCCUUUUAUUAGUUGUCCAUCAUCUUUGACCUUGGACAAAAGGCCUUGCAACCUUCCUCCUAAAUCUAGCUUGUACACCUCCAAAAAGUUUGGUGAAAGGAGAGUAAAAGUUCUUAAGGAGUUAUGAGGAGACUUUGACUUUGUUUGCGAGUUUGGAGGGGAAGGGAGGGGAAGACUUGGAAAAAAAAAAAAAGAAUGAGCAAGUAGAAGAAAUAGAGGAAAAUGGGAGGGGAGGGUUUUGGGAGGUUUACUUUUCUUCAUAAUACAAAACCCUCCUCAUUUGAAAAAACAAAAAUAUUGUAUUGGAAGAGGGGUUUUGAAGGAUGUUGGAGGGUUUAUAUGAAUUUUUUAAAUUUAAUCUAUGUUGGUAUAAUAUUUUUAAAAUUAAAAAUAAAGUAAUCACAUGCAUUAAUUUAUCAUUUUCUAAAAAACUACUCUUUUAAAAAAAUUGAAAAAUUUCUCCAUUUUCCCUCAUACUUUCCACCCCAAAAAGCCUUCUCUUCUCCUUCCCUCCAAACUCACAAACAAUGCCUUAGAGGAUACCUUAGUAGUUCCAAACACCAAUUAAUACCUUAGUAGUUCUGCAGGAAACCUUAUUCUCUAUGAAGAAACAAAAGAAAAAUAAGAUUGGUGGACACCACAAGACAGCCAAACCCAACCAAACGGGAAAAUGAAAUAGUUAUUUUGAUUAAAUUUUGGAAUAAAAAUCUCUUUUAAUAUAAAGGAGAGAAAAUUAUAUUUUGUGGUGUCUAUGAGUUUUUAUACAGUAUGAAUGAAAGACUAUUUUAAUAUGCUUAGUUUUCAACCAUGGCUUAUAUAUAUACUUUAUUUAAAGUCUGUAAAAAUAAUCUUCAAAUUGUUUAUUUUAUAAAUUAAUUUUUAGAGAAUCUAAAAUAAAUGGCCCUUACUAUAGAUAGCCCCCGAAUCUCUUGCUCCACUUGACAAAUUGCAACAGCUAGAGAGAACCGUGAGUCGCUCGCUUUUAACCUCAUGUACUUUCCUCACUCAGCACAUGAAAAAUUCAACCUUUGUUUCAGCUCUUCAACAUUCAAACUUUGAACUUUUCAGUCCCAUAUUUCAUUCUCGUAAAAAUUCAAACACAACAUAGCCUACACAAGAAAACCUAGUAGCUAGAAGAGACAAGACAACCUCAAAUAUAUAAAUCUUGCGUAGCAACUUUGAAUUUCAUGGCUUUUAUUUUAUGGUUUUUCCAUGAAUCAAAUCUAGCUAGUUAAUUAUGUUGAUUUGAUUUGAAAAUCAUGUCAAACAUACCAACCUCACUAUCUGAUAUUUGCC
rnacentral:lncRNA from 1 species